AGCACUGGCUGUGGCCCUGGUCCACACAGCUGCUCGGAGAGCAGCUUCCCUGGCCCCGUGGGUUUUUCUGUCUGUGGCCAGGCGCUGCCUGGGAAGAGGUCUGGAUUGUGUGAGCCUGAUUCCCGAGUAAUCCGAUUUGAGGCAGCGCAGAUCCCUUCUGGUUUCAUCUUGUCUGGUCGAGAAAGCUACACAUGGCCAGGAAUCAACAUAGCAUAACCGAGAGGCUUUGUCCUGUGGGUGCUCCAAGCCUGUGCCGGAGGGAGCUCUUCCCAGGAACCCUGCCCCCACCAGAGGAUCCAAAAGAAGCCGGAUACAGAAGGUUCAAUCUUCCAGUAGCUGCGUUAGAAAAAAUUAAGAGGAACAGGUACGACUAAUUUCCAUAUUUUCUGCGCAACUCCAGGUAGACAAAAUACCAUCAUUUUCACAUUUAUCCAAUCAGUAGAGAAUUGUGAGAUUUUUUAAUUUUUGCUUAUCACAGUCAGGAACCACAUGUGGCCUGUGGCUUCCCCGAAGGACACGGAAGCUUCUGCCACCAACCUUCACAAGCGGUCUGUGCUGUCCAGGCCUCUGGGUGGACAGUGAGUUCGAGUCAGCACUCUGCGCUGUUCCCUGUCCUUGCUUCUGGGGCUCCUGCGCCCUUAGCAGCUCACCCAGAUCUUUCUAGGGAUGAAGCUCCUGCUCUUCUGCCCUGGACCCCAGGGCCCAGCUCAGCCUCUGCUCUCAGAGCCUGUGGGGACAGCUAUACCCUGGGGGACUCUGGGGCUGGGGCCAGAGCCCCUAGGUGCCUCCAACAGCAGAAGCAUUCCUGGCCCCUGGGCCCAUGGUGACCCAAGGGCCACCAACCACCCAGGGGAAUCAGCUCCUUCCAGAGAUUUGCAUGUGGAUCCACAGAUAUGGGGAAGAAACAACGUGUUAGACAGAACAAGUGUCGUCCCCAAGACCCUUCUCCAGCGCCAUGCAGACUCCCUGCUUGUCCUGUUUCCUUAUGUCAACAUGUGGAGGAAAAUGUGAUUAGGUGGCUCAGUUUCCCCAAAGCAGGUUUUAGGGUAAUUAUUGCCUUUCCCAAUCCCAGAAAAAGGGUGAGAGGGGUCACGUCGUCAAACUAAGCAGAUGUCUGAACUCUGCUGCAGUUCCCAGGGAUCUGACUUUGGUGUGACCCCCUUUUCUGUAGCUUAUUAUGAGGGGUAAGAACUUUGGAAAACAUUUUGUAGGUCUUCUGAUCAAUAAGUAAAGCAAUCUCUGUAUCUUAUUAAAUGUUCUCACUCUUCCUAAGCAGGGCUCUGGGAAAGGGUCCCCACCAGGACGGGGAACACAAGAGCUCCCACUCGGUCCCCAGCUCCAUACCAGUUCUAUGGUGUCUUAGGGACCUUGGGUGCCUUGCCCAAACCCUGCCAGAUCCAGGACAGAGACAAGCAGACAUGGCGAGCUGACACCCCCAGGGUGGGCUCCAGCCAGAUGAAGCUAAGCUGGAGCCUCAGCCAGUGCAUGUCCUGGUGACCUUGGACACUGCUCCCCUGACCUUUGGUUACCUUUAGAACAUUAAUGUUUUUUUAGAGCUAAGGAUUGAACACAGGGCUUCGGGCACACGAAGCUCACUCUCCACCCUUGAGCUAUAUGUCCAGCCCUUAAAAAUUCAUACUGUAUAACUUGCUUUUUCUCAUUAAUAUUUAAAAAAUGAACCUCCUCAUUCUCACUAACAAGUAUAACAAGUAUAACAAGUAUAACAUCUAUUAUGAGCUGGGUCUUUAAACUCCACUGUUUUCUUUGUACUAUGGAAAUAUCAGUGGAGAUUGGAUUCAUGGACUUUUUAAAAAUUCAACACAUUGUGUGGGUCUUUCUGCAAUUUUCACUGAAUGACAAGCCUUCAUGAUCUUUUCCUAUCAGCAGCUCAUGUCGUAUCUCAUUAUUUCCCACUGGGCCAUGGGACUUCAUAGUGUGUAUUUAAGAUGUUUGUAAUUCUCAUGUUUGCAAAUAAACUUGCAGCAAAUAUCUUUGUGUAGACCUCAAAAUGGAACCAGCUCAAUGGAGGUUUACAUACAUUUAGGAUUUUGCUAUAUUGUCCUCCAGAAAUGAUUGUACUGGUCUACAUCUCCCUCAGAAGUGCCAGGGAACCCAUCCCCACAAGCUAGGCAGCUCUAAAAACCACCAAAUGUUAAAGUCUUCCGUGCAGGGGGGGUCACAGGAGACAGGAAGGCAAACUAUUUUAGAGCCAGCAUCUUGAAAGGGGGGCCCCUGGCCCACUCUCCCAAAAACCCAGAUUAGCAGAGCAAGAGUGAGGGGCCUCCAAAAGCAGCAUCCCCAGAGGAAUUGAGGAGGACGUCACAUCCACACAAGCAGGCCGAUUUGUAAAUAGAAAUAAUUAAACACACCAGACUAAGUCUGUCUACCCACGUCUAAAAACCAGCACAGACAGCAAUGAAACAGCAAAGAGCAAGUUGGUAUUGUCACUCACAAAACCUAGUUGAGGUUCUUAGAUGCCAGAAGGGAACACAAAUUAGCAAACGUAUAGGGUACAGGAGGAAAACUAGCAAAGGCCUGGAAGUUUGAACAUGCUUCUAAUACAACUCUCAGAGGAAAAGAGGAAGAGAAAUAAUACAAGAGAAUAGUCCUGAGCUGAUGGAUUAUUGGCAAGAAAAAGCAGAGUGGACUCACACCUUGAUACUGGCUGUUUUGUUUUAGAAGUUUUUCCGUGUCGGAAUGUAAACAUGCAUUUUAGUUCUCUUGAUGCUACACGGAAGUCCACGAUGUGUCCAGAUAUGUACGCACAGGCGUACUAUCAUUUGCUUACUCCUUCUUUUAAUAGCAUCUAAUUUAUAAGAGUCACUGUACACAGUGUCUAAUCAACAUCCUGGACACACAUCUUUGUGGACCUGGAGGAAUAUAUUUGCCCAGUGAUUCUUAGAGAUGUUAAUGCUGAGUUCCCUCUAAGUUCUGCAUAGCUGCGGCCCAGAUGGCCUCUGGAAAGGUGGAACAAAUGAAGGUUAUGAAAAAUUUGACAUCACAUCAGUAUCAGCACUGGAUCUUGGGGUCUAUUUCAUUUAUAGUAAAUUGAUGGUGGGUGAGAGGCACAAUUUAUACUUCCCCAGGAAUGUGUCAGGCUGAGAUUUCUUCAUCUAUUUGUGAGUAAUACUUACAUUCUCUUAUGUGAAUUGUCUGCCCCUCCAUUCAUUUCUCAUUAGGUUUGUUGCUUCUUUGUACACUGAGUUUUAGAAGUUAGCUUCUAUUCUUGCUCAGCUCUUUGUAUUGUCAUUCAAUAAAUCUUUUUCUACAGUGGUACCUUCUUCAUGAAUACUUCUAUUUGCAAAUAACUUGGUUCUGAAUCAGCAGCAUUUGGCAAAAUUUGUGUUUGCAAACUGCAUCGGGUGACCAACACAGCCACGGCCAUCUCUCCCGCAUGAACACACACGUGGCCUCUUUUCCAAAAUCACGGAAUGAAUUAAGUUCCCGAACUGAGGUAUCACUGCAUCUACCAUCUUCCUCCAGGACUACAACAUUUUCUUCUACUAUGUCUUUCGUAUUUUUUCUAGCUCUCUCCGUGUUUUUCUAAAGAUGUUAUCACUGGCUGUACACUUAAUAUCACUUGACUUUCAGAAAGAUGGCCUCUCCUCAUUUUUUCUUCUAAUAGCUUUUGGGAGACCCAUUAGCUUGAUCUUGCAGUUUGCUAACCUUCUUUUCAUUUGUCUGUUCAGCCCAUACGUUGAGUUUUUAAAAAUGUUUCAGCAAGCAUGGCCUUAAUUUCCAAGGACUCUGAUGGUAUGUUUUCACAGAGGCUUUGUUUUUAGGUAAAUGGGGCAUUCUCUUAACUCUCUUGCCUGUUUGCUUGAGAUUACCCUUCCUCCUGGUGCUGUGGCCUCUGCCCUGGCGUCCGGUGGGGAAUCCACUCUGCCGUGAUUGCGCAUCACAGCUUCUGCUGUGAUUCAUCGCCAGGCUGCUCUUAGACUGGCGUCCCUGUUCCCAGAAACCCCUCCCGCUUCGGGACAGCAACCCACUCCUGACUGCCCACCACCACCCGGGCUCCAUUUAUGCUGUUUCUUCCACCCUCUUAGUGGGAUCCUGGGAAACGAAGAGGUGAACCCAGAGCGCCCUUAGCCACAGUGAACUGUAAGAUACUUCCCGAACGAUUUCACGAGAACACUUUCCCAGAGCAGGGUUAUUGGGUCAGAGAGCAGGAAUGUUUGGGAGCUGUUGAUACAUAUUUACAAACUGCUUGCCAGAUGGAGGGACAGACUGGCCGGCAGUGCCCUGGACGGGGACUCAGCCGGGCAGGGUGUGAUUCCUUGAACAGUCGAGUUCAGGGAGUUCCGUUUCCUCAUUGGCGAGGUUGGGAGGUGGCAAGAGCGACAUGAAAGAACACAUCAAGGAUGAAUUAUAGGAAGCAUCUUCCCCGAGGCCCAGGCUAUAAAAGCUGCUUGAUUAACGCUGUUCGUCAGCGUCAUUUCAAAUAACUGGUUUGUCAGCAUCAAAGAGUUAUGGGCUCAGCCAGGCACUGAGAGAGAGUUUGCUCUGGGCCACGGGGCUUCACGCUGCUGAUAAAUUGCCUCCCAGCUUGGUUCCCCGGCUCCACCAGGGCAAGCUCCUUUUGCUUCCGCUCUGUGAAGGUUUGCAGUGGCCACGGAAGCCCUUGUAGAGGCAGUGGUGGAAAUCCCUGGGCCUGCCUGGGCUGUUUCACUGCAGUGCUAGGUCCUGAUCCCCCAGGCCCAGGCUGAGCCAAGGCCAGAUGUGUUCCUCUGAGCUCAGCGAGGAGGAACUUCUUAGAGCAAAAAUACCUGAUCCUUGUUCUGGGCCAAUUUCUAGUAAUUUAACUCCCGUACCUAGAAUGUUGACUCUUAUGACUUCUUUUCCUUCUCAAAAAUGUAUUCAUCAGAAAUCCCAGGAAACCUCCCUGGGGAGGAGGACUGAAGCAUGACCGUGGGCCCUGGUGCCUUCAGCCCAGAAUGCCAGAAACCAAGGAUUUCUGCAGGCCAGGGCCAGAGGAACGGCUGGAGGCGGCCCUUGCCGGACCACCCAGGUCACCGGCCAGGGAGAUAGUCUGGGUUAUCAGGAAGCAUGUGAUAAGAUUAUUCAAUUAAAUUAAAAAGACACAAAAGUCCAGCUUAAUGGCAGAGAAGCAGAGGGAAAAGUAUGCACUCCCAGCAGUACGGCAGGCCCAGAGCUGUGGUCAGGCUGGGCCAGCACUAUGAAAGGUCACUGAGGCAAGGGUCCCGCCCAGAGGGCAGAGGCCAUGUGGGGCAGAAGGGGAAGGGAGAGUCUUGAAGGGUGCAGCAGGGUAUGCUGCUACCGUUUUGAUUCAGUGAGCAGUCAAAUGAACACAUGACAUAAAAAAUAAAACCAAAGUGCAGGGCGUGAGCUUGAUGUAACUGGUCUCCGGGAAACAAGAGUCGUGGCCCCAAGGCUCUCUUCCUUCCUCCUCCUUUGGGUCCACCCACAGAGUGGUGGGCCCCUGGGGAGUGGGCCAGUGAGAGGGGCCUUGUGGAGGCUGAGUCAGCAGAGGUGGGGGGGGGGUGUGCAGCAGCUCCUUAGAAAGGCCCUGCACCCCACCAUCCCCAUGCUGGCCUCCCCUCAGCAGCUAGCACGCAGAGUGCCAGCCAGGAUCCCAUCCAGAAUGGGGUGACAGUGCCACCCGGCAGCCAGCUGUCCCCUGACUUGCUGCUGGGGUCAAGGGAGCCAGGCCAGAGAGAUACUGCAGCUUGCUGCUAGCACAGGGGAGGCAACCGUGCCGAAGGGUUCAGCAUCACGUGGUAAAAUGGCCGAAGAAGCUCGGAGGUCCCAUGUGACCUCUCAGAGUGCCUGAGGAUAAAGACAAGGACCGCGAUCCCGGGAGAGGAGGCAGGGACCUAGGGAGGAGAGCCAGCUCCACUGACCUCAGUGAGCUCCAAUGCGCUCCUCCUCCCUGGGGAGUCGGGCAGUGAAGGGGAGGAGGAAGGACUCCUGAGUGGCUGGGGCCAGCCUCCUGGGCCUCAGGCUUUCUUCUCUGGGCGCCUGGUGCGCCUCGCCUGGGGCUCUGACUGAGAUUGGAAUCCUCAGUGCUUGCGCUUCUUUGGAAGAAAUAGCUGCGUUUCUUUCUGAUUGCAAGCAAGAUACCUGCUAGAUGCAAAAGCGAACAGGGAAAUGGGUGAGCAUAAAGCGUAAAGCAUCUCUCAAACGGUGCAGCUGUAGAACAGAGCUGUCACCCACUGGAGAGAAUGAAGACACGAGCUAAAUCUCCACACAGCAAAGAUUCGCAGCUUGGUGAAAACAGGCAGGUGGGGAGAGUGUGCAGUCCAGGGGCUGGCCGCCCUGGCAGCUCUCUGGAAAGAGACCUGGGGAUCUGGCAUCUGACUUCUCGCUUGAGAGACUUACAAGGAUUUGGGGGCUGAUUUUAUGUGAUUUUACUGCUUCUUCAAAGGUGAAGCAAAAAUUUGAAAAAGAAUUAUCAUUUGGUACUCAGUGAAAAACAUUCUUUUAACACAUAUUCUUCCAAAUUUUGUUUCCACCUAUCAUUUUUCUGUUUGUUCUGUGUAUGUGUCUUAUGUCUAUGUUCCUUUUUUAUUGUUGUUUUCUUUGGUGUUAAAUAGAUGUUUUCUAAUGUAGCGUUUCAGUUCCCUUGUGUCUUUUUUCUUUUUUCUAUGUUGUGUGUGUUUGUCUGUUUUGAGGUAACUUGGGGUUGAACCCAAGGCCUUCACACUGAGCUAAGUCCCCAUUCUUUGUAAUAGUUAAAAACUUUUAACACAGGGCCUUGCUAAAUUGCUAUAUUGUCUGUUCUGGGAAGGCAAGGAUGUGUCACUAUGCCUGGUUUACUCCUGUGGUUUUUUUUUUUCUAUAUUUUGAAUAUAGAAAUUCAGAAUAAUCUACAGUUUCAAUAGCAUGCAGAGGAUUUGUUCAGCUGUGCCUCCGCUCUCUCCUGCCUCCUUUCUGGCACUGUUGUCAUGCAAAUCGCAUCUCUACACCUGAUAUAGGUCAGCAUUCUUUAUGCUAUUGCCUUUGAAAUCAAAUAGGAGAAGUGACAGCAAAACAGAAUUGCACACUGUCUCCUGUAACACUUAGGCCAUUUCCUUUGCCAGCGUUCUUUCCUGUGUGUGCAUUACCUUCCUGUUCCUAGAUUUCGGGCCAAAGGACUCCUCUUAGCAGUUCUUGUAAGUGUGCUAGUGACAAAUUCCCUUUAGUUCUGCUGAACUGAAAUAUCUUAUCUCCACUGUCCUUUCUGAAAGGCGGUGCUGCUGACUGUAGAAUUCUUGAGUGAUAAUCUUUUGCUAUUCAGACUCAUAUCAUCCCACAGCCUCGGACCUCCACUUGAGUAACCCUAUUAUAGAUCCCUUGUAUGUGGUGGGUCAUUUUUCUUUUGCUGCUCUCAAGGUUCUCUGCAUCUUCCACUUGGAACAUUCUGACUUUGACAUUGGCUUCAGUUUGUCUCACUUGGAGUUUAUUGGACUUCUUGGGUAUAUAGAUUAAAUAGUUUUCAUUGAAUGUAGAAAACUUUGGUGCUAUUUCCUAAAGUAUUUUUACCAUAUCUUUCUCAUUUUUCUCUCCUUCUGGGAUUCUUUUAUACAUGUGUUGGUACACUUGAUAGAAUUUUAUGGGUUUUCUAAAGCCCCAGUGUGUGUGUGUGUGUGUUACUAGGAACUGAAGCCAGGGUCUGCAGACUGAGUCAUACCUCCGCCUUUUAAAUUUUUUUUUUAUUUUGAGACAGGUUCUUCUCAAGUUGUCUGAAUUGGGUUCAGACUUGUAAUGCUCCCGUUCAGCCUUCCAAAUUAUUGACAUUUUAGGCCUGCACCACCACAGCUGUCUCAUUUGUUUGUUUUUGUUCGUCUCUCUGUCUUCAUCAAAUAAGACAUCUCACAUCUCGAUAGAUUUAUCUUCAAGCUUGUUUACUCUUCCUUCUGCUUGAUCUUUUCUUGAGCCUCUCUAGUGAACUUUUCAUUUCAAGUAUUGCACUUUUCAACUCUAAAAUUUCCUUUUUACAUUUCUUUUGCAAUUUCUACCCCUUAAGCUAUUUGAUGGGACAUUAUAAUAUUGUCCUUUUAUCUUUUAUACCUGAUUUCCCUUAAUUAUUUGUACCUAUUUAUAACAGCUGAUUUAAAGUGUUUAAAGGGAGCGCCCUCUGCAUGGACAGAUUCUAGUCAUUGUUCUUUUCUUCAUAUUUGCCUACAACUUUCUGUUUCUUCCCAAGUAUAAUUUUUUGAUCACUGUAUUAGGUAACACUAUGUGGCAUGCGUGAAAACCAGACUCCUCCCUCUCUAGGGUUUCUUGUCAUCACUGUUUGUCUGGUAACUUUCUUGGGUUGCUUGUGGCCACAGAAGAUUCUGCUGUCAGCUGAGCAGUGAUGACUUAAACCUGCCGAACUCCCACAUCUGGCACCCUAGCCACGGGGCUCUGGGUGCUGGACCUGCCUCUGACACAAAGCAGCCCACCCCCUGCCUGAGUGUUCCCUGUCUGCUUGUGCAGAGUCUGGAUAAGCUCGAGUGCAAGACACGGUCUCUUGUUUCCCUGCAGCCUGCGCCUGGCUCUGGGUAGACGUGUGGCUCGCUAGGCCCCCAAGAUUACUUCUAGGUUUUCUGUGGGCCUCCAGUUCCCUCAGGCUUCAUUUUAAACAUCUGGCCAGGCUCUUUAGUGUUAGUACUCCAUGAUGUGACUUUCUGAGAAGCUCCAAGCCUAGUCUAAAGAUUCGCGGCUUCUCAUCAAAAGCUUAUGUCCUGUUCUUUUCUUAUCUUAUCCAUCCCUACUGCCCUAUUUAAAAUAAAAGAGGUACCAAAGUUUCUGAAAAUUUGGUCUUAUUUAAAGCCACACAGAGGUGGCUUUGAUGUGAUGUCACAUAAAGACCAGAUCUGAGUCCUAAAUUAGGCAUGAUGACCCACACUUAUCUUCUAGUACUCUAGAAGGCUGAGGCAGGAAGGCUGCAGUUUAAGUCCAGAAUGGGCAACUUUGUGAUUAUAUAUAUAUAUUUUGCACUGAGGAUCAAACUCAUGACUGCGUGCUUGCAAGGCAGGUGCUUAUGCUGCUGAGCUAAAUCCCCAGCCUGGCAACUUAGUGAUUUAGUGAGACCUUGUCUCAAAUUUAGCACAGGUGAAGGCCCUGGAUUAAAUUCCCAGUACUGCAAAACAACAACAAAAACUGAACCCCAUUUUCCUUUCUUUUUUGUUCAUAAAAUGUCACUGUCUCUGUUCCCCUUAUACCCAGGAGCUCAUGUUGUGGGAUAGAAUCAGAGUAAGUCUACUCAACCUAGAUUUCCUCCCCUGGGGUGCUGUGGCCUCGGCACCCUGGGCCAAGGGGCCUGGGGCACACAUGUGGUUCUGCCAACUCCCCUUUAUCCCCAGUGAUCCUGGGACAAGUGCAAGCCCCCUGGUGCUCUGCAGAAGUCAUCCACGGGUCCCCAGGCCAGGCUGCACCGCCAAGAGGACCAGGCCCUCUUUCUCUGUGCCACCAGCCCCAGCACACAAAGCAGCCUGGGAAGGUCCAGCCGCCACACCUUUGCUGCUCUCCACGCUGGUGGCUAGCAGGGGAGGUGGCAGCAGGGUGGCCAGCUGCAGGGGGCAGGAUCACCCAGGCUGCAGCUAGAGUCACGUUUCCCACUUGACUGGAAACCAAAUCUUUAAUAAUACAUAGAUUUGAAGUGGCUGCAGGCUUGGUGCCGCCAAGUCCUAGCACAAAGCAUAUUUUUACAGCUGAGGUGAUGGAGCUCUGAAAGCCGACGCUUGCCAUGGAAACGCUGACACAGCCUUUCACUCCCUGCAGGGUGAUUAAAAUCCACAUUUCCAUUUGUUUUUCUUUAUUUGGAGCAGGAGUUAUUUGCAAGCCAGGGGAGUGAAUCUCGCUGUGACAGGAAACUAAAUGCUGCCCCCUGUCAGAAGCAAAGUGGAACUGUCCUCAGCUCACCAGGGCGAGGGGAGCUUGGUUUGGAGAAUCUGAAUCCGGGAAGCCCAGCAAAGGCUUGGGCACUGCUGGUCUCGCCAGAAGAGAUCCUGUUUCUUGGAACAAGUAUGGCAGGGCAGGGAAGACAGUGGCUGGGGAUGUGGGAUCAAAACAGGCCACCGUGAGCACCUGGAACUUGCCCCUCGGAGGACUCCUGGGAGUCAGGGUAGACAAUCCCAGACCUGUAGCCUCUGCUGACCCAAAAUGCUCCUGCUAACGAAUCUUCAAGAACAUCUCUGCACGCUUCCAGAUCUUUUGAUUGGGAAAUCCGUAAUGGGCCUGACCACACAUGACUGCGCUGGGGAGCGCAGCAGACCUCCUGUCUGAGAGCCGAUGUGGUCUCACAUUUCCCAGCCUCGCACGGCUCCAUCAAUUCCACAGAUCACAUUAGAUCUGGGCCCACUGGGAUUGGAGCAUUUCCUGGCUUCCUAGGCUUUGCUACAAUUUUUCAGCACCUAGUCGGACUGGGGGUGCUCCUUGGAAUGGGGGUCCAGAGGCCAGACCCUCCCAAAGGUCACCACAUCCAUUAGUGCACUAAAAGCUCCAAGCAGCCCUACAGGGAAUGAAUCCACUUGGCUUCAUUUAACUUAGUGUUUCCCAACUGUAUGAGCAUCGCUUCUUCUUGGAGCAUCUGCCGUCCUGUAACACGAUGGGUCACACCGCACAUGAGAUGCUUUGCUUUGUAUCUGCCUUUUCCUUCUUGUUUUAGGAGAUUUUAGGGAAUUUACUUUAGGGAACUUAAAGAAUAUCUUAUCAUCAAAAAGAACGGUUUGUGCUUUCAUUGCUUGAUUGAUCAUUAUUUUUAUGCCUGUAUCUUGCAAACUAAACAACUACUUUGCUCUUGGGAGGCUGAGGCAGGAGAAUCGUUGCAAGUUGGAGACCAACCUGGAUUACAUAGUGAGCUCAAGGCCAGCCUGGACUGCAUCACAAGACCCUGUCUCAGAAACACACACAUACACAAUGAACAACUACUUUGAAGAUAACCAUUUGCAAUAUAUUAACCAGUGUUAAUCUUUUAUUUUUUUGUUUUGAAAUUCUGAGGCUGGGUGUGGUGGUACAUGCCUGUCAUCUCAGCACUCGUGAGUCUGAGGCAGGAGGAUCGCUGCAAGUUCUAGGCUAGCAUGAGCUACAAAGGGAGUUCAAGGCCAGCCUGAACUGCAUAGUGAAACUCUCAAAAAGACAAAAAAAGAAAGAAAGAAAGAAAGAAAGAAAGGAAUUCUGUAUCAUUUUUAUUCUUUUUUUCAUUUUUAUAAAAGUAUCUUAUCAUUUGUAUUGUGCAAGUAUUUCAAGCUUAUUGCAAAAGAUCCGGAAAAAUAAGAACAGGUGAAGAGGGAAGAAAGGGCCCUGCAGUGCCCCCUGUGGAUGCCGCGUCCACGUUUGACACCUUCUGUGACAAGGACUUUCUAUGACAGUGGAGCCAAUCUGUUCUCCCUGGACCAUGCUCAAUUUUAUGACCUCUGGGUCUAAAGAGCAGAUUUCAUGAAAUAAAACACAUACUUCAGCCAGCA